UGUGAGCCAAACAAACCCUGUCUUCUUGAA
rnacentral:piRNA from 1 species